rnacentral:rRNA from 1 species
AUACGGAGGAUCCAAGCGUUAUCCGGAAUCAUUGGGUUUAAAGGGUCCGUAGGCGGUUUAGUAAGUCAGUGGUGAAAGCCCAUCGCUCAACGGUGGAACGGCCAUUGAUACUGCUAAACUUGAAUUAUUAGGAAGUAACUAGAAUAUGUAGUGUAGCGGUGAAAUGCUUAGAGAUUACAUGGAAUACCAACUGCGAAGGCAGGUUACUACUAAUGGAUUGACGCUGAUGGACGAAAGCGUGGGUAGCGAACAGGAUUAGAUACCCUGGUAGUCCACGCCGUAAACGAUGGAUACUAGCUGUUGGGAGCAAUCUCAGUGGCUAAGCGAAAGUGAUAAGUAUCCCACCUGGGGAGUACGUUCGCAAGAAUGAAACUUAAAUGAAUUGGCGGGG